UACGUAGGUCGCAAGCGUUGUCCGGAUUUACUGGGCGUAAAGAGCGCGCAGGCGGCUGGUCAAGUCCGAUGUGAAAUCUCCCGGCUCAACUGGGAAACUGCAUCGGAAACUGAUCGGCUUGAAGAUGGGAGAGGGUAGUGGAAUUCCCGGUGUAGUGGUGAAAUGCGUAGAUAUCUGGAGGAACACCGGUGGCGAAGGCGGCAUCCUGGACCGGUAUUGACGCUGAACAGCGAAAGCCAGGGGAGCAAACGGG
rnacentral:rRNA from 1 species